CACAAAUUGUUAGUCAAACUCCUGGUCUCUGAUUACAAGAUUGAAUGCAAGCAAGGUAAAACUAACAAGGUGGCAGAUGCUUUAUCAAGAGUUCAGCAUCCUGAACACCUUUUGGCUAUUACCCAUACUAUUCCAACUUGGAUUACAACAAUUUUGGAUACCUAUACAUCAGAUCAGAAAUGUUCAGAAAUGGUCACCACUCUUGCUCUGGACCCUCAAGCACUGCCAAACUUCACUUUGACUAAUGGCAUCCUUAGAUACAAAGGCAGAAUUGUUGUGGGAGCUGCACCUUCUCUCAAGAACAAAUUGAUUGCCACUUUUCAUCAUUCUCAAUUGGGAGGUCAUUCGGGGCAGAAGGCCACCUAUCAUCGUUUACAAUUGGUUUUCCACUGGCCAAAUAUGAAGCAAGAUGUUCAACAGUUUAUCAGACAGUGCCCUGUCUGUCAGAUUAACAAACCUGAGCAUUGUCCUUCACCAGGUUUACUUCAAACUCUGCCUAUCUCUGAAACUCCUUGGUCUCAAAUUUCUAUGGAUUUUAUUGAGGGUUUGCCCACUUCAGAACACAAAGAUAUCAUUUUGGUAGUAGUCGACAGAUUGACUAAAUAUGCUCAUUUCAUUUCUCUGAAGCAUCCCAUUACAGUGAAACAAGUCAUUACAGCUUUCACUGAUAACAUUUUUAAGUUACAUGGUCCACCUAGUGUCAUUGUUACUGAUAGAGACAGAAUAUUCACUAGUCAUUUGUGGCAGAACUUAUUCAAGUCUAUGGGAGUUGAACUGAAUAUCAAUACUGCCUAUCAUCCACAAACUGAUGGACAGACAGAGAGAGUUAAUCAAUGCCUGGAAAAUUAUCUGAGAUUUAUGGCAUUUGAUAGUCCCAAGAAAUGGCAUCAUUGGUUAUCCUUGGCUGAGUGGUGGUACAACUCAAGCUAUCACACAACAAUCAACACAACUCCCUAUCAAGCCUUGUAUGGCACACCCCCUCCAAUGAUUGCUGAGAAUACACUGCCUGCCUGUCCAAACGAAGAGGCCAAAUACUUACUGCAAGAUAGAGCUGCAGCUCUUCAGUUAAUCAAAGACAAUCUUCUCAAAGCUCAACAUAGAAUGAAGUACUAUGCUGAUCAACAUAGAGUAGAAAGAUCAUUGAACAUUGGGAACAUGGCCUAUUUGAAAGUGCAGCCAUACAUGCAUACCUCUGAGUAUUCAUCGUUCCUUGAAGUUGCAUUCCAAGUAUUAUGGACCUUUCAGAGUUCUAGAAAAGGUUGGGCAGCUGGCCUACAAACUGCUGUUACCAGACAGCUGUAAACUUCACCCUGUUUUUCAUGUGAGCCAGUUGAAACAACAUGUAGGACCUAAAGCUAUUGCCACUGCACAUCUACCAUUGAUUGAUGACAAUGGGAACAUUCAAGUUGGCCCGGAGGUUGUCCUGCAACGCCGUAUGGUUCCAAGACCUAUUGCUGACAACAUUAAUGUUGCUGUGGUCCAAUGGUUAGUCAAAUGGAUCAAUUUACCUCCUGACGCAGCUACAUGGGAAAAUGCAACAUUCAUGCAAAAAGUCUUUCCAGAUUUCAAUCCUUCGGGACAAGGAUUCUCUUCAGAAGGGGGCACUGUCAGGAUACACUACUCUGAAUGUCAUUCUUCAGUUAGCAAGUGUCUGGCAAGAAUCAUCUUCAGUUAUCUCUAGUGAGCGAACCGGUAUCUUACCGUCCAAGGGCUAUCCAACGGCGCAGAUUCAAUUACCGCUUCAAGACUUACUGUCGGAAAUCAACUUUUGCCGGUUGUUACUUUUCAGAUUCACCUUAACCUUUACUGCUUUCCUUAGUCCGCUACCCUGUUCAAACCAUUCAUUUUAUUUAAGAAAUUGGAAUGAGUGAGACUUUCCUUACAGCCCCAAUAUCUAGUUGCUCAUAAUUGUCCGUAACCGGGGACAUGGGCUAAGUACUUAGUUUGACACUCUCGAGACGUUGUACACAUUCCCCGCAAGAAAUCGACGUGUUAAUCCCUUGCUGUCCUCCUGGGGGAAUAGCAACGGCAUCGACUUCAAGAAUUUUCAGAACAUGUUUGCCCAGACCACCUGAGGGACCCGCGCUCCCACCUACACAACUACCUCAGUACAAUCCCUCGGAUCUAGGUUCACAUUUCUUAGUCCAUCCAGCCAGAGCCCAUUUAGCUUGUGGUUGUACUGGAAGCUACUAAACAGGAAACUAGUCCAGUCUCUGAUACCCCAGGUGGCAUUCCACAUUUGCGACGCAAGCGCUCCCCGAAUCCACGGAAGAGACGUCCAUGGACGAUCCAUCUCCGAAUCCACGGAGACUCGACUCAGAGGGACCCAUAGAAAUGGACCUGACGUCGCAUAACAUCUCAAAAUCUCAAAGCGGUCCACCCAGGAUGGUUCAUUAGGGUUGUUUUUGCCAAGUUUCCAAAAUUACUCCACAUCAUCAUUUCACAGUGAUUGAGAUUCCCUCCCACGUUUACUAACAUAGCUUGGCUAAGCAAUACUAAUCACGAUGGCUAUUGGUGGAGGAUUCAUGGCAAAGGUAACCCUAUAGCUAGUAGGUCAAAUCAUAGCUAGGAUAAGUACGAGUAAUAGUCCUAUCAAUGCAUUUCUACAAUCAACCCUAAGGCAUAAAUAUUUUAAAAACAAUAAUAAUAGGAUAUGAUCAAAGUGAACUUGCCUUGGUAGCAGUUGGAGUUCAAACACUCGUCACAAUCACAAGGUUCGCUCUCCAUGAAAA
rnacentral:lncRNA from 1 species